CUAUUCUGAUUUCUGUUCAGAUUGUAUAAAUCUUUCGCCUUUUACUAAAGAUUUCUGUGGAGAGGAACAAGCACGAGUGUUGUGAAAUUUUUUGAGGCUCCGCUUCGGCAGAAA